GGUGCAGCUCCUGUGAGAAGAGGAGAGAGAGAGAAAAACGCAGACCCUGAUAAUAUUACGUUAUAAUUGCGGUCAAAAAGGACAUAAAGCCUGGAGAUGUCCAAAUGAACGUCGUAAAAGUCAAAAACAGUGGUGUAGCUAUUGCAAAAGCUCAACACACAAAGACGCAUCUUGCAGACGCAAAAGAAGGGACGACGCAAAACAAGCGACGCAUGAAGAGGACGCAGAUAAACAUGCUGCAUUUGUCUUCAAAACGUGUGAUUAUCAACUAGACGGGCUGAAACAUAAAGGACUAAUGGUUGAUACGGGAGCAACAUCACACAUAAUUACCGACAUCGGAAAGUUUAAGAAAUUUGACGAGACUUUCCAAACGGGCAAACAUUUCAUUGAGCUUGCGGACGGGACAAGAGCGAGUGGCGUUGCGCUGAAGAGAGGUGACGCGGAGAUAUGUUUGAUUGACAGUGAAGGAAAGCAAGUGAGUACAACGCUAAAGAAAGCACUGUACAUUCCUUCAUAUCCACAAGACAUAUUCUCUGUUAAAGCAGCGACUGCCAACGGGGCUUCUGUUCGUUUUCGACAAGGACAUGACGAGCUCAUCCACAAGGAUGGCACGAGAUUUGAAAUAAAAGAGUAUAAUAGACUGUACUAUCUAAACACUAUAGAUAAGGGAGGAGAUUAUUGUAACGGCUGUUACGACAUUCAAACUUGGCACGAAAUCCUCGGCCACUGCAACUAUGAUGAUGUUUCCAAGUUGCCAGAUAUUGUGGAAGGAAUGGAAAUCAAAGGAAAGAUUGACAAGUCCAAACUGCACUGUGAAGUCUGCACACAAGGCAAAUUUGCGCAAAGCAGGAACAGAGAACCCGAUGCACGUGCCAAAGUCCCACUUGAACUUGUGCACACAGACUUGGCUGGUCCUAUUCAACCAGAGGCUAAAGAUGGUCACAGGUAUGCACUUGUAUUUGUUGAUGAUUUCUCAGGCACAAUAUUUGUUUACUUCCUGAAAGCGAAAAGUGACACUGUAAAGGCUACGGAAAAAUUCCUAGCAGACACUGCUCCUUAUGGUACUGUAAAGUGCAUUAGGUCAGAUAAUGGCACUGAAUUCACAGCAACAAAUUUUCGGUCAUUGCUAAGCAAAAAUCGCAUUAAACAUGAGACCUCUGCACCGUAUUCACCCCACCAAAACGGUACUGCUGAAAGAAGUUGGCGAACAUUGUUUGAAAUGGCCAGAUGCAUGCUCAUUGAGAGUAAAUUACCAAAAGAGUUAUGGACUUACGCUGUGAUGACUGCUGCAGUAAUUCGCAACAGAUGCAUUAAUAACAGAGUAAAGCAGACUCCAUACUACAUGUUGACAGGAAGAAAACCGGAUCUUUCAAAGAUGAGAGUUUUUGGAUGCAUGUGCUAUGCAUACAAACACGACAGAAAGAAGCUAGAUUCACGUUGUGAGAAGGGAAUAUUUGUUGGGUAUGACAAGAAUAGCCCUUCAUACCUAGUGUAUUACACAGACACUGGAAGAGUCCUUAAACACAGGCUUGUCAAAUUCUUCAAGAAAUGUGCUGUCGAGCAGCAAACUCAAACUGACCCACAAAUACCAGAUGAGGAUGUUUAUGGGGGAAGUUAUUUGCCAUCUAAGGUAAGAACAAACAUCACUGAACAGAGUUCAGGGAAGUCUCAAGAUAGUGGAGACAAAACAGAUCUUCAAAAUGAUGAUCAGACUGAAAAUAUUCAGAAUAGAUGCAACCCCAAAAGGAACAGGAAAGCUCCCCAAUACUUAUCUGACUACGUAACUGAUAUUGAAGAUGAUGAUCAGAUACUUACUAAUAUUGACUACUGUUACAGAAUGUGUAAUGUACCACAAACCUUCAAGGAAGCCAUGAGUUCAACCAAAUCACAGAUCUGGAUUAAAGCCAUGGAAGAAGAGAUGGAUUCUCUAAAAGAAAAUGGAACUUUUACGUUGAUGGCUCUACCCGAAGGCAAACAUGCAGUGGGGGGUAGAUGGGUCUAUGCAAUCAAGAACAAUGCAGAUAACAAUGAAACAUAUAAGGCUAGAUAUGUUGCUAAGGGUUAUAGUCAAGUAAUGGGAAGAGACUAUAAGGAAACCUUUUCUCCAACAGCAAAUAUCACAUCAGUUCGUGUCUUGAUGCAAAUGGCAGCACAGUAAGACCUUGUUCUACAUCAGAUGGAUGUGAAAACGGCUUACUUACAUGCUCCAAUUGAUUGUGAGAUCUAUGUGGAACAGCCAGAAGGUUUU
ensembl:lncRNA